GCUCUGGUGGUCUAAGUGGUUAAGAGUAUCCGCCUCGGAUGCGGGAGGUCGUGGUUCGAUCCCCGGCCGAGGCA